rnacentral:hammerhead_ribozyme from 1 species
AUCCAACUUACGAGUCUUAAAUAGUACGAGACGCGCGUCUUGGAU